GACAGAGGGUGCAAACGUUGCUCGGAAUCACUGGGCGUAAAGGGCGUGUAGGCGGGAAGGAAAGUCAGAUGUGAAAUCCCUGGGCUCAACCCAGGAACUGCAUUUGAAACUCCCUUUCUUGAGUACCGGAGAGGAAGGUGGAAUUCCUGGUGUAGAGGUGAAAUUCGUAGAGAUGUGGAGGAACACCGAUGGCGAAGGCAGCCUUCUGGGCCAAUACUGACGCUCAUGCACGAAAGCGUGGGGAGCAAACAGG
rnacentral:rRNA from 1 species